rnacentral:misc_RNA from 1 species
GAUGAAGAACGUAGCAAAAUGCGAUACUUGGUGUGAAUUGCAGAAUCCCGUGAACCAUCGAGUCUUUGAACGCAAGUUGCGCCCGAAGCCAUUAGGCCGAGGGCACGCCUGCCUGGGCGUCACACGUCGUUGCCCCCCCAUCUAAUCCUUCGGGAUUGCGGGGGGCGGAUGAUGGCCUCCCGUGCGCCUCGUCGCGCGGUUGGCAUAAAUGCCAAGUCCUCGGCGACGCACGCCACGACAAUCGGUGGUUGCGAAACCUCGGUUGCCCGUUGUGUGCGGUCGUCGCGCAUCGAGGGCUCGAAAAAAUUGCCGGGCUCCGGCUCGACUUUCAACGCGACCCCAGGUCAGGCGGGGUUACCCGCUGAAUUUAAGCAUAUCAAUAAGCGGAGGA